rnacentral:rRNA from 1 species
GAUGAACGCUGGCGGCGUGCUUAACACAUGCAAGUCGAACGAAGCACUUUAUUUGAUUUCCUUCGGGACUGAUUAUUUUGUGACUGAGUGGCGGACGGGUGAGUAACGCGUGGGUAACCUGCCUUGUACAGGGGGAUAACAUAUGGAAACGGCUGCUAAUACCGCAUAAGCGCACGGCAUCGCAUGAUGCAGUGUGGAAAACUCCGGUGGGAUAAGAUGGACCCGCGUUGGAUUAGCAAGUUGGGGAGGUAACGGGCCACCAAGGCGACGACGCAUAGCCGAGCAGUGAGGCAGACCGCAGACACCGGGGAUGAGCCGCGGUAGAGACUCCUACGCGAGGCAGCAGAGCGGGAUAGUGCAACAUGGCCGAAGUGCUGAUGGAGCGCCGCCGCGAGAGCGAUGUUAUAUUUCGGUAUGUAAAGCGUUAUUAGCAGGGCAGAUAAUGACGGUACCUGAUCAAGAAGCACCGGCUAACUACGUG